ACCAAUGGAGUUAGUAUUCCUCACUUAUAAACCUAUGAUCUUCCACUAAAUUAACCAAUGUGGGACAUUCACUCCCAAUAAACCUCAACAGAAGAUGCACGGAGAAAAACAAGUGAAAAUUUUGAUCCUAAGAAUCUUCUAAGACUGUUCUUGUGGGAUCCUGAAACAAAGAAGCUUUUAACAGUUCAAGAAGAGUCUGAGUUGAUUGUCCAAAUCCAGGAUGUAAUGAUGUUGGAAUUACAGUUGAGAGAUUGGAUAAGUUACCUUUUAUGUCGUGAAUUUCGUGUUCAUUGCAGCAACCUGUAUGGGCUGACCAUGAUACCACUUUUCAGGAAAUAACUGCAAAUUUGGAAUCUCCUAGGCAUUCUCGAUCCGAAUGAGAGACAGAUCAUCAGACUACGAUUUGGGCUCGAAGAUUGUAAGAGAAGACUCUGUCGUCAAUAGGCAACAUGGUUGAUUUAUCUCGAGAGAGAGUGCAAAGGUGUGGAAACAUUCCUUAUGAGGGUGUGGAAACCUCUCCAUAGCAUACGUAUUUUAAAAUCAUGAGGCUGA